rnacentral:lncRNA from 1 species
UUUCAAGAAAAGUUACACAAGAUGAGGUGACAAAUUCAUUCAGCCUACUCAUGGAUAUAACUCUUGUAUAAGCAGCAUAAUUCCACGCUUCGCCGGAUUCUAGGAGGUAUCAUCUGCCCUGCAGUUAACCAACUUGCCAAAGAAGUUGGCUACUUUCCCAGGAGCUCCAGAAAACCUGUGGCUGUUACCCCCUCCAUUUCAAGUGACAACAGUUUGUUGAGGAAGUAUUUGAAGAUAUAUGCAACAACUUUCUGAUAUUUGGUGAUAUUCUGAAGGAAAUUAAGGUAAGCAAAAAGACCAGAAAAUAAAAGUGAUAUGCCUCUAUGGAAAGUUGGUUUC